UGCACUUCCGGCGUGAAGAGCACUUUCUGGAGUGCGGUUGCAGAGGGUGAACUCAAAGAUAUGUGAUGAGACGCCACUAUUUUAUUUAUUUAUUUGACAG